AUUAGUUGCCAUUGUUUUUAAUAAAAAAAAAAUUUUUUUGUGCUAGUUUGCCUUAUAAGAAAAGGAAGAAACUGGACUAAAUUGUUGAAUGAA